AAUAGACGACGUCAUUGACUUUUUUUCACAUGUGUGACCAUUUGUCUUAUUCAAAAAAAUUUUAUAAUUAUAAUUUAUUUUAUGAUGAGUUGUUUUAUUACUCAUAGUACUUUAAGUGUGAUUUAUAUCUUAUACAUUUGCAUAAAAUUUUUGAAUAAGAUGAAUGGUCAAACAUGUGAGAAAAAGUCAACGGCAUCAUCUAUU
rnacentral:pre_miRNA from 1 species